GACAGUGUUUCAGCUUAACUGGUAGAGCAUUUUGCGCGUAACCAAAAGAUCCAGGUUCAAGUCCUGGUCUGGGCUGUCU
rnacentral:tRNA from 1 species